UUAAAUUGAAGAGUUUGAUCAUGGCUCAGAUUGAACGCUGGCGGCAGGCCUAACACAUGCAAGUCGAACGGUAACAGAAAUCAGCUUGCUGAUU
rnacentral:rRNA from 1 species